rnacentral:pre_miRNA from 1 species
AUGUAAUCACAGAACCGGUUUUCAUUUUCGAUCUGACUUAUUUUUUCAACAACGAGUGAGAUCACUUUGAAAGCUGAUUUUGUACAACUAAUUCAA